rnacentral:rRNA from 1 species
UAGGGAAUCUUCCGCAAUGGGCGAAAGCCUGACGGAGCAACGCCGCGUGAGUGAUGAAGGUCUUCGGAUCGUAAAACUCUGUUAUUAGGGAAGAACAAAUGUGUAAGUAACUAUGCACGUCUUGACGGUACCUAAUCAGAAAGCCACGGCUAACUACGUGCCAGCAGCCGCGGUAAUACGUAGGUGGCAAGCGUUAUCCGGAAUUAUUGGGCGUAAAGCGCGCGUAGGCGGUUUUUUAAGUCUGAUGUGAAAGCCCACGGCUCAACCGUGGAGGGUCAGUGGAAACUGGAAAACUUGAGUGCAGAAGAGGAAAGUGGAAUUCCAUGUGUAGCGGUGAAAUGCGCAGAGAUAUGGGGGAACACCAGUGGCGAAGGCGACUUUCUGGUCUGUAACUGACGCUGAUGUGCGAAAGCGUGGGGAUCAAACAGG